rnacentral:rRNA from 1 species
GAUAACAGGCUGAUCUCCCCCCAAGAGUUCACAUCGACGGGGAGGUUUGGCACCUCGAUGUCGGCUCAUCGCAACCUGGGGCUGAAGUCGGUCCCAAGGGUUGGGCUGUUCGCCCAUUAAAGCGGUACGCGAGCUGGGUUCAGAACGUCGUGAGACAGUUCGGUCCAUAUCCGGUGUACGCGUAGGAACAUUGAGAGGAUUUCUCCCUAGUACGAGAGGACCGGGAGGAACGCACCUCUGGUGUACCAGUUAUCGUGCCAACGGUAAACGCUGGGUAGCCAUGUGCGGAGUGGAUAACCGCUGAAAGCAUCUAAGUGGGAAGCCCACCUCAAGAUGAGUGUUCCCAUGGGGUAACCCAGUAAGGUCACGGGAAGAACACCCGUUGAUAGGCUCUACGUGGAAGUCCAGUAAUGGAUGCAGCGGAGGAGUACUAAUAGACCGAGGGCUUGACCA